CCCAGAAAUGGUAUAUGGUAAUUUGUCAUUUAAUAGUUUAAAAAUAUUUCUUAAGAGGAGAUGUUCUCCACAUGUCUCAAUAGCCGAUAAUGAAAGGAUCCUCUGGAUAAAACAGAACCCUGGAUGUUACUAUUACAUGUGAAAACAAAUACCGUUAUUGUAUUUUGAUAGUCUUCUUGGCCUCUUUACACUUGGUCUCUUUAAUCCUUAACAAUUCACUAGUAAAAAGGAGAUACAACAAGUCAACCAGGUAAGAAUAACAUAAAUAAUGACAUCUCAGAGAGCAGCACUGAAUCUCACAGCUCUGAAGUACUGAAAAUGGCCAAACAAAAAAUGGGUAGAAAAUGGAAAGAUUUAAAAGAAUAACAGUGGAGAGAGAAUAAAAACACUCUUAAAUAAUAAGCAACACUUUCCAGUGACUACAUAUUAGGGUGGGUAAU
rnacentral:lncRNA from 1 species